AUUGAACCCUGGCGGCAUGCUUUACACAUGCAAGUCGAACGGUAACAGGCCGCAAGGUGCUGACGAGUGGCGAACGGGUGAGUAAUGCAUCGGAACGUGCCCAGUCGUGGGGGAUAACGCAGCGAAAGCUGCGCUAAUACCGCAUACGAUCUAUGGAUGAAAGCGGGGGACCGUAAGGCCUCGCGCGAUGGGAGCGGCCGAUGUCAGAUUAGGUAGUUGGUGGGGUAAAGGCUCACCAAGCCAACGAUCUGUAGCUGGUCUGAGAGGACGACCAGCCACACUGGGACUGAGACACGGCCCAGACUCCUACGGGAGGCAGCAGUGGGGAAUUUUGGACAAUGGGCGCAAGCCUGAUCCAGCAAUGCCGCGUGCAGGAAGAAGGCCUUCGGGUUGUAAACUGCUUUUGUACGGAACGAAACGGUCCUGGUUAAUACCUGGGGCUAAUGACGGUACCGUAAGAAUAAGCACCGGCUAACUACGUGCCAGCCGCCGCGGUAACAC
rnacentral:rRNA from 1 species